UUUGAGUGAAAUCCAAGUGCUAAAACUAUGCAAGACACCAACCACUCCAUUUCAGAACUAACUUCAUAGGAACUUGAAUUCUCCAAUUUCUUUGACUAGUCGAUAUCGGAUUUCCCACCAUAUUACGGUGUUUCCAAAGUUUUGGACUCAAUCUGAUAUCGAUUGAUCCACGAAAUCGGACAAUUCAGGUUCGUAUGAAGUUCGUUCUGAAAUGGAGUGGUUGGUGUAUUUCGUUGUUCUAGCGAUUGGAUUUC
rnacentral:lncRNA from 1 species